AGCGGCGGACGGGUGAGUAACGCGUGGGUAACCUGCCCUAUACACAUGGAUAACAUACUGAAAAGUUUACUAAUACAUGAUAAUAUAUAUUUGCGGCAUCGCAGAUAUAUCAAAGUGUUAGCGGUAUAGGAUGGACCCGCGUCUGAUUAGCUAGUUGGUGAGAUAACUGCCCACCAAGGCGACGAUCAGUAGCCGACCUGAGAGGGUGAUCGGCCACAUUGGAACUGAGACACGGUCCAAACUCCUACGGGAGGCAGCAGUGGGGAAUAUUGCACAAUGGGCGAAAGCCUGAUGCAGCAACGCCGCGUGAACGAUGAAGGUCUUCGGAUCGUAAAGUUCUGUUGCAGGGGAAGAUAAUGACGGUACCCUGUGAGAAAGCCCCGGCUAACUACGUGCCAGCAGCCGCGGUAAUACGUAGGGGGCUAGCGUUAUCCGGAUUUACUGGGCGUAAAGGGUGCGUAGGUGGUCCUUCAAGUCGGUGGUUAAAGGCUACGGCUCAACCGUAGUAAGCCGCCGAAACUGGAGGACUUGAGUGCAGGAGAGGAAAGUGGAAUUCCCAGUGUAGCGGUGAAAUGCGUAGAUAUUGGGAGGAACACCAGUAGCGAAGGCGGCUUUCUGGACUGCA
rnacentral:rRNA from 1 species